CCCCAUCAUGCAGGAGAGAGUGGCCAAUCGCUGCCACCGCCGAAGGCGCAAGCGCACCCGCAAUCGCUCAGGCAAAAGGACUGCAUCAUCGGA
rnacentral:ncRNA from 1 species